UACGGAGGUGGCAAGCGUUGUUCGGAAUUACUGGGCGUAAAGGGCGCGUAGGCGGCCUGCUAAGUCGAACGUGAAAUCCCUGGGCUCAACCCAGGAACUGCGUCCGAUACUGGAAGGCUUGAAUCCGGGAGAGGGAUGCGGAAUUCCAGGUGUAGCGGUGAAAUGCGUAGAUAUCUGGAGGAACACCGGUGGCGAAGGCGGCAUCCUGGACCGGCAUUGACGCUGAGGCGCGAAAGCGUGGGGAGCGAACAGG
rnacentral:rRNA from 1 species